rnacentral:lncRNA from 1 species
UCUGGCUUAGAUCCUCGUUGGUACUAAGGUAUGUAUGAUUUUGCUUUUAAAAACUCUUCCCUCUUCAGUUUAGCAAGAUUGGAACUAAAAUCUAGGAUUUUUUUAAACUGAUUGUUCUUUGUGUCGAUUUUUAAAAAGACGAUUUAGCAGGCGAAUUAUCUGAGUUACCGUCUUCUUCCAUGCCCAAGACAUGAAGCUGUGGAACCAAGAACCAACCAACCCUAUAAACUUCUUCGGCAACAUCAGCCACUGCCACCCUAAUUCUUGCCUAAAAAUUUACAUCAGAGAAAUUAAGAUUGAGCUAAAGAACGACGCUCUUCUUACGGUCAUUAAGAUCUAUAAUGGGGUGGGUUUGAUUUAGAAAAAGAAUUAAGAUGAAGAACGACAUCGAAAAAAUUAAGAUCGAGAUGACCUGAUCGAGAAGAAGAUGGA